rnacentral:rRNA from 1 species
AUUGAACGCUGGCGGCAGGCCUAACACAUGCAAGUCGAGCGAGCGGCGGACGGGUGAGUAAUGCCUAGGAAUCUGCCUGGUAGUGGGGGAUAACGUCCGGAAACGGGCGCUAAUACCGCAUACCAUCGGAUGUGCCCAGGUGUGAUUAGCUAGUAGGUGGGGUAAAGGCUCACCUAGGCGACGAUCCCUAGCUGGUCUGAGAGGAUGACCAGUCACACUGGAACUGAGACACGGUCCAGACUCCUACGGGAGGCAGCAGUGGGGAAUAUUGCACAAUGGGCGCAAGCCUGAUGCAGCCAUGCCGCGUGUGUGAAGAAGGUCUUCGGGUUGUAAAGCACUUUCAGUUGGGAGGCGUUACCCGCAGAAGAAGCACCGGCUAACUCCGUGCCAGCAGCCGCGGUAAUUC